ACAGCGUAUAUUAAAGUUGUUGCAGUUAAAAAGCUCGUAGUUGAAUUUCGGGAUCAAAUUGUCGGUCGUGCCUUGGUACGCACUGGCAUUAUUGGUCCCUACCUUCUGAAGAACCGCGAUGUCAUUAAUUUGGUGUCGUGGGGAAUCAGGACUGUUACUUUGAAAAAAUUAGAGUGUUUAAAGCAGGCGCACGCUUGAAUACAUUAGCAUGGAAUAAUGAAAUAGGACGUUUGAUUCUAUUUUGUUGGUUUCUAGGAUCGACGUAAUGAUUAAUAGGGAUAGUUGGGGGCAUUAGUAUUCAAUUGUCAGAGGUGAAAUUCUUGGAUUUAUUGAAGACUAACUACUGCGAAAGCAUUUGCCAAGGAUGUUUUCAUUAAUCAAGAACGAAAGUUAGGGGAUCGAAGACGAUCAGAUACCGUCGUAGUCUUAACCAUAAACUAUGCCGACUAGGGAUCGGAUGAUGUUAAUUUUUUAAUGACUCAUUCGGCGCCUUACGGGAAACAAAA
rnacentral:rRNA from 1 species